GCCGCGAUAGCUCAGAUGGUAGAGCGCUGCGUUGAAGGCGCAGGCGUGCUUGGUUCGAUUCCAAGUCGCGGCACCA
rnacentral:tRNA from 1 species